UACGUAGGGUGCGAGCGUUGUCCGGGAUUAUUGGGCGUAAAGGGCUCGUAGGCGGUUUGUCACGUCGGGAGUGAAAACCUUGGGCUUAACUCAGGGCUUGCUUUCGAUACGGGCAGACUAGAGGUAUGCAGGGGAGAACGGAAUUCCUGGUGUAGCGGUGAAAUGCGCAGAUAUCAGGAGGAACACCGGUGGCGAAGGCGGUUCUCUGGGCAUGAUCUGACGCUGAGGAGCGAAAGUGUGGGGAGCGAACAGG
rnacentral:rRNA from 1 species